rnacentral:rRNA from 1 species
ACGCUGGCGGCGUGCUUAACACAUGCAAGUCGAACGAGAAAUCUUUAGCUUGCUAGAGAAAGUAAAGUGGCGCACGGGUGAGUAACGCGUGGGUAAUCUGCCUCCGAAUCGGGGAUAACAUUGCGAAAGCGAUGCUAAUACCGGAUAAAAUCUGGUUGGCUUCGGUGAACCGGAUCAAAGGUGGUCUCUUUAUAAAAGCUACCGUUUGGAGAUGAGCUCGCGUACCAUUAGCUAGUUGGUGAGGUAAAGGCUCACCAAGGCGACGAUGGUUAGCUGGUCUGAGAGGAUGAUCAGCCACACCGGAACUGGAACACGGUCCGGACUCCUACGGGAGGCAGCAGUGAGGAAUUUUGCGCAAUGGGGGAAACCCUGACGCAGCAACGCCGCGUGAGUGAUGAAGGCUUUCGGGUCGUAAAGCUCUGUCAGGUGGGAAGAACCCACCAAGUGUUAAGACCACUUGGUGCUGACGGUACCACCGAAGGAAGCACCGGCUAACUCCGUGCCAGCAGCCGCGGUAAUACGGGGGGUGCGAGCGUUAUUCGGAAUCAUUGGGCGUAAAGGGCGCGCAGGCGGUUUUGUAAGUCAGAUGUGAAAUCCCGGGGCUUAACCCCGGAAGUGCAUAUGAAACUAUGAGACUUGAGCAUGGGAGAGGGAAGCGGAAUUCCUGGUGUAGCGGUGAAAUGCGUAGAUAUCAGGAGGAACACCGGUGGCGAAGGCGGCUUCCUGGACCAAUACUGACGCUGAGGCGCGAAGGCGUGGGGAGCGAACAGGAUUAGAUACCCUGGUAGUCCACGCAGUAAACGUUGAUCACUAGGUGUAGCGGGUAUUGACCCCUGCUGUGCCGGAGUUAACGCAUUAAGUGAUCCGCCUGGGGAGGUACGAUCGCAAGAUUAAAACUCCAAAGGAAUUGACGGGGGCCCGCACAAACGGUGGAGCAUGUGGUUCAAUCGACGCAACGCGAAGAACCUUACCUGGACUUGACAUCUCGGGAUUCCGUUGAAAGACGGGAGUGC